AGGGAAUCUUCGGCAAUGGGGGCAACCCUGACCGAGCAACGUCGCGUGAGUGAAGAAGGUUUUCGGAUCGUAAAGCUCUGUUGUAAGUCAAGAACGAGUGUGAGAGUGGAAAGUUCACACUGUGACGGUAGCUUACCAGAAAGGGACGGCUAACUACGUGCCAGCAGCCGCGGUAAUACGUAGGUCCCGAGCGUUGUCCGGAUUUAUUGGGCGUAAAGCGAGCGCAGGCGGUUUGAUAAGUCUGAAGUUAAAGGCUGUGGCUCAACCAUAGUUCGCUUUGGAAACUGUCAAACUUGAGUGCAGAAGGGGAGAGUGGAAUUCCAUGUGUAGCGGUGAAAUGCGUAGAUAUAUGAAGGAACACCGGUGGCGAAAGCGGCUCUCUGGUCUGUAACUGACGCUGAGGCUCGAAAGCGUGGGGAGCGAACAGGAUUAGAUACCCUGGUAGUCCACGCCGUAAACGAUGAGUGCUAGGUGUUGGAUCCUUUCCGGGAUUCAGUGCCGCAGCUAACGCAUUAAGCACUCCGCCUGGGGAGCACGACCGCAAGGUUG
rnacentral:rRNA from 1 species